rnacentral:rRNA from 1 species
UACAGGGGGUGCAAACGUUGCUCGGAAUUAUUGGGCGUAAAGCGCGCGUAGGCGGCUACUUAAGUCGGAUGUGAAAGCCCCUGGCUCAACUGGGGAAGUGCACCCGAAUCUGAGUAGCUUGAGUGCAAAAGAGGGCCGCGGAAUUCCCGGUGUAGAGGUGAAAUUCGUAGAUAUCGGGAGGAACACCGGUGGCGAAGGCGGCGGCCUGGGUUGACACUGACGCUGAGGCGCGAAAGCGUGGGGAGCAAACAGG